rnacentral:rRNA from 1 species
UACGAAGGGGGCUAGCGUUGCUCGGAAUCACUGGGCGUAAAGCGCACGUAGGCGGAUUUUUAAGUCAGGGGUGAAAUCCUGGAGCUCAACUCCAGAACUGCCUUUGAUACUGGCGAUCUUGAGUCCGGGAGAGGUGAGUGGAACUGCGAGUGUAGAGGUGAAAUUCGUAGAUAUUCGCAAGAACACCAGUGGCGAAGGCGGCUCACUGGCCCGGUACUGACGCUGAGGUGCGAAAGCGUGGGGAGCAAACAGG